UAACCUUUGAACAAAUGCAAGUCGAGCUAAGAAGAAAAGGGAGACUAUUGCAUUUGAAAGAAAGCGAAUUUAAGAAUUUUUUAAGAGAUUUCGUGUGGAAUGAAAUGCCAUUCAAAAGAAGAAGAGGAAGAAAGCCAACAAAAAAAAAAAAGAAAAGAAGGGAAAACGAAUAAAGAAGACAACAAAGUAAAGAAAAAUAAGAAAAAGAAACCAAAGAAGAAAAAAACACACUUACCUUAUCGAAGAUUAUAACGAAUCCAAGAUUC